rnacentral:rRNA from 1 species
UACGUAGGGGGCGAGCGUUGUCCGAAGUUACUGGGCGUAAAGCGCGCGUAGGCGGUCAUUUAAGUCUGAGGUGAAAGGUUCAGCGCUCAACGUGAACAGUGCCUUGGAUACUGGGUGACUUGAGUUCGGGAGGGGGCAAUGGAAUUCCAGGUGUAGCGGUGAAAUGCGUAGAUAUCUGGAGGAACACCGAUGGCGAAGGCAGCUGCCUGGCCCAGAACUGACGCUGAGGUGCGAAAGCGUGGGGAGCGAACGGG